AGAAAAGUAGCAAUCAGUCGACGAAAUUGUAAUCAAUAAAACGCGUGAUUUUUAAUCCACCAAGGAGCCAUAUUAGGACGCCAAAUUACUCUUUGUUGAGGUCGAGAAUACAUUAUAAAGUGAUCUACCGGUUAUCAUCGCAGUGCCAAUUAUCACCACAUUAACUGGGUGCCUACCCAGUUUAGUACCUAUACACUCUGUCAGCGAGCCAUACAAUAGGUGCGGCACAAAUUGGACGAGACAACUUCGACGACGACGGCAUAUUCGGGGUGCGAAAUUGCAGAACGGAUUCGUUACAGUUGGCAAAGGUCAAGCGCCAGCUAGGUGCAGUUUGAACAGCAGUAUCGAUUACCAUUGGAAACGUCCCGGUCAUGGCUCAUCGCAACCAGCUAAGAGUCAGUAAAAGCUCAUCAUAUUCGCUUCGGCCCAAGAUCUCCAUUUCGAUGAAGGAAGUUGGAAAGUCACCCAGGGGUGAAUCGCGCCUGGACAAUAAUGGACUUCCGGUGGUACUUGUUCGGGUUGAUAGAGGACAGGACGAAUUACACUCGAGCGAUGGGGGCAGGCUAAUCCCUGAUAUUCCCAUUCGAAUCAAUCAGGAUGGUAACGAGUCGCGAUCCGGGGAUGGAGGCAGGGAACUCCCUGAGAAGGCCGUUCGAAUGAGAAGGAAGCGUAAGCGAGAUACACGGAUAAAGGAGCCUGUAAAUGACGAUCUACGUAGGUCGAAGCGAGUUAAAAUGAUGAAUAGAAACAGUGAUUAUGUGUAUGAUAAAUGGUAGCGAUGAAUUAUGUAAUCUACAAUAUCUGAGUUAGACUAUAUGUAGAUAUCAAACGAAUUGUACCAUAUCAGUAAUUCUGAAUUCUGAAUUUUUAAAUAUGAGCUUGUUGAAAACAUUAGUAAAAUUAACAAAGUUCAUUUCGAACUCAAUUAUAGAAGGAAGAGCUGUUGUAUCCGCAUUAGCGGAAUUUCACUUUAGAAAGUAAAUGUAGCUAUACUGUGAACUCAUGAAUAUAUUAUAAUUCAUUCCGAUCGGAAGUUCCAAUACGGAUGUAUAUGUGCUUGGCGAUCUCUAUAAAGGAAAAAAUAUACGUUAAUAGCUCACUCGAUUUCAGACAGAGCUCAGAAACAGUUGUG